rnacentral:rRNA from 13 species
GACCUGCACGAAUGGCGUAACGACUUCCCCGCUGUCUCCAACAUAGACUCAGUGAAAUUGAAUUCCCCGUGAAGAUGCGGGGUUCCCGCGGUCAGACGGAAAGACCCCGUGCACCUUUACUACAGCUUCACACUGGCAUCAGGCCAAGCAUGUGCAGGAUAGGUGGUGGGCUUUGAAGCAGAGACGCUAGUCUUUGUGGAGCCUCCCUUGAGAUACCACCCUUGCUUUGCUUGAUGUCUAACCGCGGUCCGUUAUCCGGAUCCGGGACCCUGUGUGGUGGGUAGUUUGACUGGGGCGGUCGCCUCCUAAAUCGUAACGGAGGCGCGCGAAGGUUGGCUCAGAGCGGUCGGAAAUCGCUCGUUGAGUGCAAUGGCAGAAGCCAGCCUGACUGCGAGACUGACAAGUCGAGCAGAGUCGAAAGACGGCCAUAGUGAUCCGGUGGUCCCAAGUGGGAGGGCCAUCGCUCAACGGAUAAAAGGUACGCCGGGGAUAACAGGCUGAUACUGCCCAAGAGUCCAUAUCGACGGCAGUGUUUGGCACCUCGAUGUCGGCUCAUCUCAUCCUGGGGCUGGAGCAGGUCCCAAGGGUACGGCUGUUCGCCGUUUAAAGAGGUACGUGAGCUGGGUUUAGAACGUCGUGAGACAGUUCGGUCCCUAUCUGCCGUGGACGUUUGAGAUUUGAGAGGGGCUGCUCCUAGUACGAGAGGACCGGAGUGGACG